rnacentral:rRNA from 1 species
GUGGGGAAUCUUCCGCAAUGGACGAAAGUCUGACGGAGCAACGCCGCGUGAGUGAUGAAGGUCUUCGGAUUGUAAAGCUCUGUUAAUCGGGACGAAAGAGCCUAGUGUGAAUAAUGCUAGGAAGUGACGGUACCGGAAUAGAAAGCCACGGCUAACUACGUGCCAGCAGCCGCGGUAAUACGUAGGUGGCAAGCGUUGUCCGGAAUUAUUGGGCGUAAAGCGCGCGCAGGCGGAUCUGCCAGUCUGUCUUAAAAGUUCGGGGCUUAACCCCGUGAUGGGAUGGAAACUACAGAUCUAGAGUAGCGGAGAGGAAAGUGGAAUUCCUAGUGUAGCGGUGAAAUGCGUAGAUAUUAGGAAGAACACCAGUGGCGAAGGCGACUUUCUGGACGAAAACUGACGCUGAGGCGCGAAAGCCAGGGGAGCGAACGGGAUUAGAAACCCCUGUAGUCC